GCAUAUCAAUAAGCGGAGGAAAAGAAACCAACAGGGAUUGCCUCAGUAACGGCGAAGUGAAGCGGCAACAGCUCAAAUUUGAAAUCUGGCGGCCUCUGGGCCGUCCGAGUUGUAAUUUGAAGAGGAUGCUUUUGGCGAGGCGCCUUCCGAGUGCCCUGGAACGGGACGCCACAGAGGGUGAGAGCCCCGUAUGGUUGGACGCCGAGCCUCUGUAAAGCUCCUUCGACGAGUCGAGUAGUUUGGGAAUGCUGCUCAAAAUGGGAGGUAAACCCCUUCUAAAGCUAAAUACUGGCCAGAGACCGAUAGCGCACAAGUAGAGUGAUCGAAAGAUGAAAAGCACUUUGAAAAGAGAGUUAAAUAGCACGUGAAAUUGUUGAAAGGGAAGCGCUUGCGACCAGACUUGUGCCCGUCGAAUCAGCCGCCGCUCGCCGGCGGCGCACUUCGGCGGGCUCAGGCCAGCAUCAGUUCGCUGCAGGGGGAGAAAGGCGGCGGGAAUGUGGCUCUUCGGAGUGUUAUAGCCCGCCGCGCAAUACCCCUCGGCGGACUGAGGACCGCGCAUCUGCAAGGAUGCUGGCGUAAUGGUCGUCAGCGACCCGUCUUGAAACACGGACCAAGGAGUCGUCCUAAUAUGCGAGUGUUCGGGUGUAAAACCCCUGCGCGUAAUGAAAGUGAACGGAGGUGAGAGCUUCGGCGCAUCAUCGACCGAUCCUGAUGUUCUCGGAUGGAUUUGAGUAAGAGCAUAUUGGGCCGGACCCGAAAGAAGGUGAACUAUGCCUGUAUAGGGUAAAGCCAGAGGAAACUCUGGUGGAGGCUCGCAGCGGUUCUGACGUGCAAAUCGAUCGUCAAAUAUGGGCAUGGGGGGCGAAAGACUAAUCGAACCUUCUAGUAGCUGGUUUCCGC
rnacentral:rRNA from 1 species